UGGGGAAUUUUGGACAAUGGGGGAAACCCUGAUCCAGCCAUCCCGCGUGUGCGAUGAAGGCCUUCGGGUUGUAAAGCACUUUUGGCAGGAAAGAAACGUCAUGGGUUAAUACCCCGUGAAACUGACGGUACCUGCAGAAUAAGCACCGGCUAACUACGUGCCAGCAGCCGCGGUAAUACGUAGGGUGCAAGCGUUAAUCGGAAUUACUGGGCGUAAAGCGUGCGCAGGCGGUUCGGAAAGAAAGAUGUGAAAUCCCAGAGCUCAACUUUGGAACUGCAUUUUUAACUACCGGGCUAGAGUGUGUCAGAGGGAGGUGGAAUUCCGCGUGUAGCAGUGAAAUGCGUAGAUAUGCGGGGGAACACCGAUGGCGAAGGCAGCCUCCUGGGAUAACACUGACGCUCAUGCACGAAAGCGUGGGGAGCAAACAGG
rnacentral:rRNA from 1 species